AAUGCGGAGCGGGAGCUGGGAGCGGGCGCGGGCGCUGCGGCAGGGGGAGCGGGCCUGGGGGCCCCCGGGAGGCUGCUCCCGCGAUCUGGGCGGACCCCGGGCCUGAGAGGUCCGCAGGGGUUCAAGGGGAAGCACCCUAGAAGGCAGGAACGUGUGGUCCCGGUAGCUCAGCCCAUUAUUAUCCGGGAUGCGAAGAGGGAGCAUGUCCUCCUUGUCAUACUACUGAAAUCACUUAGGCACAGCAUCAUGAUCCACGGGUGGAAAGGAAGAGAAAACGUAAGACAGAGCAGUGCCACCACUGCCUCCCUUAUGUCCGGCUGAGUCAUCCCUGGCCAAAAUGUGGGGCAAUGACGGCCAUGAUGAUAAACAUCAUGUCAUAUGGUACGGUGGAGGAAAGUGGGAUCUAGGUCCCUGUGACAUCGCGGAGCUACAUGAGCCUGGGACUGCUUCAUCAGUUUGAACACGUUAAUGAUAAACUCCUUUAAUCCCAGCACUCGGGAGGCAGAGCCAGGCGGAUCUCUGUGAGUUCGAGGCCAGCCUGGACUACAGAAUCUCUGCUUAAAGCAAAGCUUCUGUCCGUACCCUGGAGAUGAACUUGGAGCUCUGGACUCACUCUCUGUGCUCCUUUCCCUGAGAGUGAUGAAAUCUCCUUCCCUGCCUUACACCAUUAUUUACUGCCUUGAUUGUUACACUGGGAUGAGUGAGCACGCCUGACUUGUUAGAGCUGCUGGAUGAGGUUCCUGCUCUAAAACUCCACUUACAACUUGGCCUCUGUGGCCUGUCCCCUUCUUGUGGACUAGUUUAUCACCCGGCCAAGGAACCUAGAGAGCCAGAUUAGCAGAUAUCCCAGUUCCCUCAAGACUGAGGACUGUUCAAACACAAGGGGAAUUGAAACAGAAGCUACUUUUGUUACAAACUAUUAACUCUUCACUCGGGCCACAAAGCCGAAGGCACAAA